CACGUAGGGACCGAGCGUUGUCCGGAAUCAUUGGGCGUAAAGCGCGUGUAGGCGGCUCGAUAAGUCCGGUGUGAAACCUUGGGGCUCAACCCCAAGCCUGCACUGGAUACUGUCGAGCUCGAGUCCGGGAGGGGAGAGCGGAAUUCCUAGUGUAGCGGUGAAAUGCGCAGAUAUUAGGAAGAACACCGGUGGCGAAGGCGGCUCUCUGGAACGGUACUGACGCUGAGACGCGAAAGCGUGGGGAGCGAACAGG
rnacentral:rRNA from 1 species